rfam:Lepisosteus oculatus linkage group LG7, whole genome shotgun sequence.
UUCAGUAUGGCCGAGUGGUAUAAGGUACCAGACUCAAGGACUCGUGUCUUCCCAAUUCACUUGGGUGUUCUGGUCUCUGAAUGGAGAUGUGGGUUCAAAUCCCACUCUUGACA